ACGCUGGCGGCAGGCCUAACACAUGCAAGUCGAGCGGCAGCGGGAAGUAGUUUACUACUUUGCCGGCGAGCGGCGGACGGGUGAGUAAUGUCUGGGGAUCUGCCUGAUGGAGGGGGAUAACUACUGGAAACGGUGGCUAAUACCGCAUGACCUCGCAAGAGCAAAGUGGGGGACCU
rnacentral:rRNA from 1 species